GGAGGAGCUGGACUUCAAAUCCGAAGACCUCAUCAUGCCAGCAGUUGGAGAGUUCGAU
rnacentral:tRNA from 1 species